AUUCCGGUAACGAACGAGACUGAAACCUAUUAAUUAGUUUCCUGCCUAUACGACAGGAAUCUCCGCAAGGUCAGGUGCGCAAGUACCACUUCUUAAAGGGACACAUUUCAAUUGUCUCAUUUUAAUCGAUGUCUCUGGGUCCGGUCAGAACUCUUUUAACGUGAGAAAAAGAAAAAGGAAGCAUUCAGCAAUAACAGGUCUGUGAUGCCCUUAGACAUCUUGGGCCGCACGCGCGCUACAAUGGAGUUACUAGAGAGUAUUUUAUCAUCCAAGCCUUAUAUUGUAGACUUUGUUUAUAAUGUAGGGAUAUUGGGUGAUGUACCGAGAUUGAAAUAGUUAAGGAAAACUCAAAAGAACGUACAUGACAGGGAUAAAUGAUUGGAAUUAUUUGUUUUGAACGAGGAAUUCCUUGUAAUAUCGAGUCAUCAACUCGAGAUGAAUACGUCCCUGCCCUUUUGUACA
rnacentral:rRNA from 1 species